UAACGGGGCGGUCCUCUAUGAGGCCCGUCAUUGUAUUGAGUAAAACACAAAAUAUUUAACGAAACCAAUUGGAGGGCAAGUCUGGUGCCAGCAGCCGCGGUAAUUCCAGCUCCAAAAGCAUAUAUUAAAGUUGUUGCGGUUAAAAAGCUCGUAGUUGGAUCCAUGACCUCGGAGGGCGGUCCCCCACUGGGUGCGUACUGCUGCUCCGAGUCCUAUCUGUCAGUUUGUCUGUGUUGCCUUUAAUCGGGUGGCACAGGUGACUGACGUGUUUACUUUGAAAAAAUUAGAGUGUUUAAAGCAGGCGUUGAAUGCCUGAAUAGUGGUGCAUGGAAUAAUGGAAUAGGAUCUCGGUUUUAUUUUGUUGGUUCAAGAGCAUGAGAAAAUGAUCAAGAGGGACAGACGGGGGCAUUUGUAUUGCUGCGUUAGAGGUGAAAUUCUUGGAUCGUAGCAAGACAAACUACUGCGAAGGCAUUUGCCAAGAAUGUUUUCAUUAAUCAAGAACGAAAGUUAGAGGUUCGAAGGCGAUCAGAUACCGCCCUAGUUCUAACCGUAAACCAUGUCGACUAGCUAUCUGUCAGCGUUAAUAAUGACCUGACAGGCAGCUUACCGGAAACGAAAGUUUCUCGAUUCCGGGGGUAGUAUGGUUGCAAAGCUGAAACUUAAAGGAAUUGACGGAAGGGCACCACCAGGAGUGGAGCCUGCGGCUUAAUUUGACCCAACACGGGAAAACUCACCCGGCCCGGACACCGUAAGGAUUGGCAGAUUAAUAGCUCUUUCUCGAUUUGGUGAUUGGUGGUGCAUGGCCGUUCUUAGUUGGUGGAGCGAUUUGUCUGGUUAAUUCCGAUAACGAACGAGAUUCUAACUUACUAACUAGUUCCACGAUCCUUGUGGUCCUAAAUACUUCUUAGAGGGAAAACCGGCAUUUAGUCGAACGAGAUUGAGCAAUAACAGGUCUGUGAUGCCCUUAGAUGUCCGGGGCUGCACGCGUGCUACACUGAAGGAAUCAGCGUGUUUUUCCCUUGCCUGUAAUGGCUGGGUAACCGACUGAAUCUCCUUCGUGUUAGGGAUAGAUCAUUGAAACUAGUGAUCUUCAACUUGGAAUUCCUGGUACGUUUGAGUCAUAAGCUCAAGCAGAUUACGUCCCUGCCCUUUGUACACACCGCCCGUCGCUACUACCGACUGGCAAUAUCUUUGAGACACUUGGAGCGGCCGUGAGCUACCCUAACCGGUAACUCACGGCUGCGAAAAGGUU
rnacentral:rRNA from 1 species